AUGGAAGACAAGCGUCCCUUAAAGGACAAAAUAACUUACCUCAUCAGCUGGACACUCCAAGCUGAAUCCGCGAUCUUCGGUAGCGGAUGCGGGAGCCUCGACGCCUUUGAACAACACCUUCCAUACCUCUUCAUACAUAGUGUCGAAGAGCCCAUUCAAAGUCUGGUGCUGCGCCGGAUCGAACUCCCACAAGUUGAAGCCCCGUCGUUGGCACGGGAGAAUCUGGCAGAUAAGCAUGACCUGGACUACGUUGACGAGCUUGAGCUUAAUGUCCACCAGCUUUUGGACGCAGGCUUGGAGUCCGGUCAGCUCCUCCGAAUCACCCCAAAUCCGGCCGCUCUCUUUCCAGGAGGUGAGCCGUGUGGGGAUGCCAGAUCUGAAUUCGGGGGCCGCUGCCCAUUCGGGGUCACGCGGCUCGGUGAUGUAGAACCACCCCGAUUGCCACCCCUUGAUGGUUUCCACAAAAGUGCCCUCCAGCCACGUAACGUGGGACAUCCUGCCCACUAUGGCACCUCCGCACUCCGCUUGGCUACCCUUCACAACCUUCGGCUUGACACUGAAGGUCUUGAGCCACAAGCCGAAGUGGGGCUGGAUGCAGAGGAAGGCCUCACACAUGACGAUAAACGCCGAGAUGUUGAGGAUGAAAUUCGAGGCCAGAUCAUGGAAAUCCAGGCCGUAGUAGAACAUGAGCCCCCGGACAAAGGGAUGGAGCGGGAAGCCCAGUCCGCGGAGGAAAUGGGGAAGAAAUACUACCCUCUCAUGGGGCUUGGGGGUGGGGAUAAGCUCUCCCUCGAUGGGGAGCUGGUGCGCGAUGUCGCUGGACAAGUAUCCGGCGUCGCGCAACUUCUGGAUCUGCCUCUCCGUGACGGAGGAGGCCAUCCACUUGCCUCCUGCUCCGGACAUAGUUGGAGAAGGUUGAGGUGA
rnacentral:rRNA from 1 species